rnacentral:antisense_RNA from 1 species
UGUGGGAGCUGGCUUGCCAGCGAUAGCGAUUGGUCUGACACAUUGGUUCUGAAUGUGCCGCCGCCAUCGCUGGCAAGCCAGCUCCCACA